CACCAGGUUGAUUCUGCCUGACGUAGAUGCUAGCCUCUAAGAUUAAGUCAUGCAUGUUUAUGAAACAAGGACGAACAGCUCAGUAGAACUGCGAUGAUUCAGUCUGUCCGAGCGCGAUAACUACGUGAAAAUGUAGCUAAGAGGGGACAGAACAAGACGCAGGCCUAUCAGUUAGUUGGUAGUGUAAUGGACUACCAAGACGGCGACGGGUAACGGGGAAUCAGGGUUUGAUACCGGAGAGGGAGCCUGAGAGACAGCUCCCACGUCCAUGGACGGCAGCAGGCGCGAAAAUUGCCCACUCUUUGCAGGAGGCAGUUAUGAGGCGUGACGAUGAAUGCUCGGCAAAGAUGAGCAGGAAGAAUUGGAGGGCAAGUUUGGUGCCAGCAGCCGCGG
rnacentral:rRNA from 1 species